rnacentral:lncRNA from 1 species
UCUGGAUCCGGAGAGGCAGUUUUUGCAAAGGCGGUUUCAAUUCAGUCCUGAGAAAGCGACCAGCACGGAUCCCACGAAAGCAGCAGGAGGAUGUGGGUCCCCAAUGGAGUGGAGGCCUGGAAAGAGGGGACAUGGGUGACGAGUCUUCGAUACUGGAAGGGCAGCCUACCUGAGAGGAGCUGUUGAGGCCCCAGCCAUGCCGCCCACAGUCGAGGGUGCCCUGCAGGCCUCUGGCCCCCAGGAAGGCAGGGCAGGAGUCCUGCAUCCUUGCCCAGCAUGGCGGCCAGAAAGUUUUAUUCUCUUCCCUCACACUCACCUCCAGUUCACUUUCUGAUUCAGAGAAUUGACGACGUGCACCUGCGCUGCCCCAUGCAGCUCUGCCGCCUCACUCUCCAUCCCCAGAGAUGCUCAGCCUUCGGCGUGGUGGCACACAGUGGGCUUCCAAUUGUUAAAAGAGGUUAAAGGUCACGGCAGUAACACCCAAGCCAGGGAUACAUGUGCAGCGUGUCGGGCUUCUACUGAUGCUGCCUCAAUCACAAAAACCAUGAGCUCCAUGGAGUUCGUAAGGAGACAGUUCUCCUCACCACUUCCUGGAAACCAGGAGACAGGGAAUAGCCCCAAGCCAGCCAGGUCUUGCCAGCAUGAUGAGGAAGUCCCCUCUGCUGGAACCUUCCAAGGAAAACCUCUUGGAAAUGACCAAUCUGCUUUUUGUUCUGUGUCUGCCUCCUCAGCCCCUUUCUGUUUACAGAACCAACCUCCUCUACCCAGCACGCAGGAGCCCUCGUUCUGUUUUAUAGAAUGGGGUGUUUCCCAGUUCUAGAAUUGCAAAUAAAGCCAAGUUUGUGGUAAUUUUGUCUCUAUCAAAUUGAAAACAAGGAAACUUUCAUUCUUUUUAAUCUGGUACUUUUC